AUUGAACGCUGGCGGCAUGCCUUACACAUGCAAGUCGAACGGCAGCAUGGAGAGCUUGCUCUUUGAUGGCGAGUGGCGAACGGGUGAGUAAUGCAUCGGAACGUACCGUGUAAUGGGGGAUAACGUAGCGAAAGUUACGCUAAUACCGCAUACGACCUGAGGGUGAAAGCAGGGGAUCGCAAGACCUUGCGUUAUACGAGCGGCCGAUGUCAGAUUAGCUAGUUGGUGAGGUAAAGGCUCACCAAGGCGACGAUCUGUAGCGGGUCUGAGAGGAUGAUCCGCCACACUGGGACUGAGACACGGCCCAGACUCCUACGGGAGGCAGCAGUGGGGAAUUUUGGACAAUGGGGGCAACCCUGAUCCAGCCAUGCCGCGUGAGUGAAGAAGGCCUUCGGGUUGUAAAGCUCUUUCGGCCGGGAAGAAAUCGCACAGGCUAAUACUCUGUGUGGAUGACGGUACCGGCAUAAGAAGCACCGGCUAACUACGUGCCAGCCGCCGCGGUAA
rnacentral:rRNA from 1 species